GAUGAACGCUGGCGGCGUGCCUAAUACAUGCAAGUAGAACGCUGAAGGAGGAGCUUGCUCUUCUGGAUGAGUUGCGAACGGGUGAGUAACGCGUAGGUAACCUGCCUGGUAGCGGGGGAUAACUAUUGGAAACGAUAGCUAAUACCGCAUGACAACAGUUAUUGCAUGAUAACUGUUUAAAAGGGGCAACUGCUCCACUACCAGAUGGACCUGCGUUGUAUUAGCUAGUUGGUGAGGUAACGGCUCACCAAGGCGACGAUACAUAGCCGACCUGAGAGGGUGAUCGGCCACACUGGGACUGAGACACGGCCCAGACUCCUACGGGAGGCAGCAGUAGGGAAUCUUCGGCAAUAGACGGAAGGCUGACCGAGCAACGCCGCGUGAGUGAAGAAGGUUUUCGGAUCGUAAAGCUCUGUUGUAAGAGAAGAACGAGUGUGAGAGUGGAAAGUUCACACUGUGACGGUAUCUUACCAGAAAGGGACGGCUAACUACGUG
rnacentral:rRNA from 1 species